UCGAGAAUCUUCCGCAAUGGACGAAAGUCUGACGGAGCGACGCCGCGUGAUGGAUGAAGUCCCUCUGGGACGUAAACAUCUUUUAUGAGGGAGAAAGUUUAUUGAUAGUACCUCACGAAUAAGGGGUUGCUAAACUCGUGCCAGCAGCAGCGGUAAUACGAGUGCCCCGAGCGUUAUCCGGAAUCAUUGGGCGUAAAGGGUGUGUAGGUGGCAUUGUUAGUCACACGUUAAACCCUGGGGCUUAACCCCAGAUCUGCGUGUGAUACGGCAAAGCUAGAGGAUGGCAGGGAUGUAUGGAACUCAUGGAGUAGGGGUGAAAUCCGUUGAUAUCAUGGGGAACACCAAAAGCGAAGGCAGUACAUUGGGCCACUCCUGACACUGAAACACGAAAGCGUAGGUAGCGAAUGGGAUUAGAUACCCCCGUAGUCCCUGAGCGGGCUGGCAAGGCGCAU
rnacentral:rRNA from 1 species